GUGCCAGCCGCCGCGGUAAUACGGAAGGGGCGAGCGUUGUUCGGAAUCAUUGGGCGUAAAGGGCGCGUAGGCGGUUGUGUUUGUCUACUGUGAAAGGCCACGGCUUACCUGUGGAGGUGCGGUAGAAACGGCACAACUUGAGGCUGGGAGGGGUUGGUGGAAUUCCCUGUGUAGCGGUGAAAUGCGUAGAUACGGGGGAGAACACUCGUGGCGAAGGCGGCCAACUGGCCCAGUCCUGACGCUGAGGCGCGACAGCGUGGGGAGCAAACAGGAUUAGAUACCCUUGUAGUCC
rnacentral:rRNA from 1 species